rnacentral:rRNA from 1 species
UACGAAGGGGGCUAGCGUUGCUCGGAAUUACUGGGCGUAAAGGGCGCGUAGGCGGAUGUUUAAGUCAGAGGUGAAAGCCCAGGGCUCAACCUUGGAACUGCCUUUGAUACUGGGCAUCUUGAGUAUGGGAGAGGUGAGUGGAACUCCGAGUGUAGAGGUGAAAUUCGUAGAUAUUCGGAAGAACACCAGUGGCGAAGGCGACUCACUGGCCCAUUACUGACGCUGAGGCGCGAAAGCUAGGGGAGCAAACGGG